CCUCCUCGAGAAAUCACGCCACAUUGUCAAUAUUUGUGCCAUGGUUUGUCAAUUGCAUCAUUCCAAAAAACGGUUUGAAAGUUUCAUAAAAAUAUGCUCCUCCAUCAUUCAAUAAGAAUUUCGCCGUUUUCAAAAUUGAUCUUAAACCAUAAGGAAUCCGGAAAAAUGUUCCACAUGAAAAAUUUAUGCCUGCUCAACAUUUUUUGAAUGGCAUACUGGUUCCACCAAUCCAACAAGCGGCGAGUAUAGUAGAGCCAAAAGGAAACUACUCUGUGGACGACAGUUUGCCGGCCGGACAACGCACGAUGGAGCAGUGAACGGUGCUAUUCACUUUUGCUGUACGCAUGGACGGUUUUGAUUGCUGCAUCGUGUGCGAAUCGUCCAGAACUUGUCGUCCGCCUAGCAGUUCUCGAGCCAAAAUAGCAUUGAUAAUUAACGUAAAACAACUCCGACGACCCCCUCCUCCUCGUAACCACCGUCUGUACCGACUCUUCCCAAACCUGCAGAGCAGAGCACCACCGCCGCGACGGCAAGCUAAAGCAGCAUCUGUCCUCGAUCGGGACAGCCAUGGGCCGACAGCCAUGGGCCCAUGGCGGCCGCACCCUCGCCGCCACGCCCUCGCCUCUCCCUCCGGCAUCUUGGAGACGUCCGCCCGAGGGAUCCAGCCUCCGCUCCCCCCGGAAUCCCGCCGCCUCCCCGCAAAGCUCUCGCGCCCGUCGCCAGAGCCGCGUGCGCGCCGGCGCCGGCGCGAGGCGGCGGUGACGCGACGGAGGAGCCGGGCCAGGCGCCCGGCGACUGGGCGCGCUCCUGGGCUCCGCCGCCCUGCUCGGCUGCCGCCGAGGACUCCAUCAAGGCGUCCGGGUUCGGGCUGCGGAGCCUCGGCUGGCCCGACGAUGCCGUCGUGGUCACACCUGCCACAUCGCCGGUGCUCGAGCUGUGGGGAGCAAUUCCGGCCGGCUGACUGUCCUAGCAGUUUUGAGCAUCGUCCUCCAGGUUGGAUUGUUCAACUCUCUCAUGUUCCAGUUAAGGAGCUCUAUAUUCCAUUGAAGAAAACAACGCGGUGAACAAACAAGAAGAUUGUAUUGAGCAUCCACCAACUGGAAGCAGCAACCAGAGGCGACAUAACCAGCACAGCCGGAGCCAAAGGACCACAAGGCACAAUACUCCCCGCCUGGUUUUGGGAACGGCUUUAAUGGCGUGGCUGAUGGUUUUGCUCGAGUGGCAUGCACCUCACCUUGGUUUUGCACAUACGGGUAGUAUUCCGCCUUCCUCCUCCUGUCUCUCUCCUCCCUUCCCUCCACCUCAUCCUAUCAUCACUGAUCAAUCCCGAAAUCCAAUCCAUGCCACUCACACGUCGACUAUCUGAGAGCCUCUGGCUGUUGCGCUCCAGGAAAAGGCGGUCGAGCAUCGCUGCCCGCAGCGGUUGCACGUCUUUACCGGCCUGGGCGCGCUGGCUCUCCUUUUCGCUCUCCGUCCAGCACACAAAGCCCACUGAUAACUCCAUGUUGUGUCGGUGACUCGGUGUUGAAGUCGGCUGCACAGCACGCCUACCAGUGAGAGCUGUCCAUCGCCUCCUUCUCACCGACUUUGCUUAUCACCUCUGAAUAGCAGUGAGACGAUUCCAUCCCCUCUCCUUUUGAUUUGCUCGUUUGAGGAAUUCUGGGGACCGUUAAUCCAUUGCACUAGACGGAUCCGUGCAUGCGAUUAAUUCUUGGUUGGAAGCAAUGUGCUAUGGGGAUUGCAUGAAUCUAGUACAACUUAUACCAGCAUAACCGAAGCACUGAAUCCCUUGGGUUUGUAACAGGAGUAGAUGGUAGAGAUCCAAAUCGUAAGAUGGUUGUCAAGAUGAAAGCUUGUAAUGUCACAAACUUGUCUUUGUGGUAACUACUAGUACAAGAUACAAGAUGGGAGUUUCACUGCCGUAAGAUGGUAGAUAUCCAUGUUACGAUACUACAAUGGGGAUGCACAGUACAGCAGUCUGUAACAACAUUCCAUAAGAUGUUUGUGUUCCGUUCCGUUCGAAAAGGAAGAAGGUGGACAUUGGCAGUACUUCCUCCUUCCGUACCUGCCCAUUGAAAGAAACGGACAAAAGCCAUUCCACAGAAAUUACCCAAGGGAAGCAAGGGGAGAUGAUACGGUCAAACAAAAGAGUAAAAAGGACCGGAGGGAGUACUACUCGGCUUUGGAGCCCGGCAGGAAGAUCACCGGAGCCCAGCCCCAGACCUGCGUCUCCAUCCUCCUCUGUCGCCUGCCUGCAGCCUGCGUGUUACUGUUCCCCAACCCCAAUCCCAACGGAAGCCAGGGAAGGUAAAAGUUGGUGGGGGAGGGAAGGAAAGGGAUGCACGGGCAAUGCCAUUGCCAAUGGAAGGAAGGCCGACAAGGGACCAGGAGCCAGGUGCGAAUCAUCUGCUCUGCUGCAUGCAGUGCCACGGCUGGCCCGCGCUGCCGAGCCGAGCGUGGACUGGAGUUGGUCCCUCUCCCUCGCUCGUUGCUCUCACUGGUCGCACGGGCCUACAUGUACAUGGCAACUACGCCUUCGUCCUCUUGCUCCUCUCUUAAAUGGGAUUUCUCCAACACGUUCCUUGCGUCCAGUCCACUGCUGCACCAGACCACGGCCGGCCCACAGUACCUCUCCCCGCCGCUUCCCGGGCUACCGAGCCGCUCGGAAGUAGGCUGCGUGCUUGCCCGCAAGCACGGCAUGAAGUGGGAAGCGCCGCUCCCAGCUGACCGCAGACAUGUCGGAUCCAGUCACAGUCUCCGGCUCCCCAUCCUCGGCAGCACCCUACAGCCUCGCCCUUGAUGGCACUGCGGCCACAACCGACGCCGUCAAGUCUGUUCUCACCGGAGGACUCGAGAGCCGGUCGGAAGUAGGCGGCGUGCGCUCACCCGCCGCGUGCAUCCUCCGUGUGCUGCAGCGAUGGAUGCCAUGAUCUCGGCCAGGGGUGCGCUGCGUACGUCUCCUUGUACGCAUCUGCCCAUCGGUCUCUCCAUGCCCGCGCGCCGGCCGCAAGAUCGAGUACAGGACGCCGCCGGCCCGUCCAUGCUGUUCCUCACGUCUCCGUCCGUCCGUCCGGCAAGUGCGCGGCCUACUUCCCACACCGUGCAAGGCGCCGGAGGGCUCGUUGCCUAAUUUUGCUAUGUCGAGGUGAUGGCCGGCCCGCGGUGCAAAAAGGGAGCCGGAGAUGAUCGGGAUUGCAUCACGGCACGAAGAUGCACGACCUCCUUUUCUUUGGUUGAGUGUACGACGGGAACUUCUUUGAUUCAUCACGCUAAUAAUCAAUGGCUUGUAGUUGUUGGUGA